rnacentral:rRNA from 1 species
UACGUAGGGCGCGAGCGUUAUCCGGAAUUAUUGGGGCGUAAAGAGCUCGUAGGCGGUUUGUCGCGUUCUGCUGAUGAAAACUGGAGGCUCAACCUCCAGCCGCAGUGGGUACGGGCAAACUAGAGGUACUGCAGGGGGAGACUGGAAUUCCUGGUGUAGCGGUGGAAUUGCGCAGAUAUCAGGAGGAACACCGGUGGCGAAGGCGGGUCUCUGGGCAGUAAACUGACGGCUGGAGGAGCGGAAAGCCCAGGGGAGUCAAACGGGA